rnacentral:rRNA from 1 species
CCGUCGUAGUCCUAACCAUAAACCAGGCCUACGAGGGAUUGGAGGUCGUCAUUGUCGAGACGUCUCAAGCCAGAAUUUCAUUCUCUAUUAAUUGAAAAGGCCCUUGCGUAUGGUCGCAAGGCUGAA